ACUGAUGUUCAGAAUGCCCCCUUGAAGACCCAUUUCCAAGCAAUUGUUGACAAUGCAACACUGGACUGUGAGGACGAAAAAAACAUCUGUCAUGCACCCAAAUUUAUUGCCGGUCUGGUAAAUCACCUUCUACCACAUGCAACUUUGUGGUCAUCAAUGAUACUCGGGGAUCUUGGACGUCAUGGUACUGGUCCUGCUUACCAGCAGCUCAGUAAACUCUAUGGUGACAUUCAGCAAUCUAAGAACCAGAAUUUUACACAAGACAACAGAACCCAAGGAAUCAUGGAGAAAAGCCAGUGGGAUUUGAAAAAAAUCCGUAUCCAGAGAAGGAGACUGACAAGGCUUGAUGACUUUGUGGAAAUUUAUCAAAAAAUGCACGAUGCCCUCCUGCUUGAAUAUGCAGACAUGAAAAAAACAAGACAAAAGUCUUUUCGCGUGGAAAUGGAGAGAUGGAAAGACAAACACAUUAAAUGAAAAGGUGUGUACGUGUCACCGUUAGUGACAGAACUGCCACUGAAGAAAAAGAAA